GAAGAGGACUCGGUGUGGAGGUGCGGAGAGCCGUCUGUACCUAGGAAGACACGUUGGGAUGGCGCCCCCUGUGAGCAAGCCCCUGAGGGUAGAAGCAAAGGCCCGGCUGGAGGCUGGCGCCAGGGCAGCCGAUGACUCUGGGAGGAGACGGGAGAGAAGAGACCUGAGUGGGCUGGUGCCUGUUCCUGAAGGAGACAAUCCAAUACCGGCUAGCCCCGGGGGAAGCGGUCCUUCAGGAGGAACAUUUGAGACGGAUAUGGGGAAUGAAUUACAGAAUGUGUUGGAAAGAUUUCAAGGU